GAGGAUGAAGCUUAUAUAGCAUUUAACUGUUAAUUAAAAGAUAGCGUUUUAGAGCACGCCAUCCUUU
rnacentral:tRNA from 1 species